AGCUUCUGGGAACCUGCCCCCAGUGAAUUCUGAUUGGUAAAUAAAGAAGCCAGCAGCCAAUAGCUGAGGAGGAGAGACAAGGGCGGGGAUUUAGGAUGCCUAGGCUUGCAACCUGGAGGAAAAGGAAAGGGAGCCGCGGUGCCUGACGUGCGAGUACUGGAGGGACAAGCAGAGCCGCCACGUGAAGGGAUCAAGAGAUCGGGGCCAGAGGGCUGCUCAACUGGGUCUAGAGCAGCCAAGAUGGAACAGAGAAAUUCGUUCUCUUGUAUCACAGGCUGGACCUGACUUAGCUGUGUAACCGUUAGUGGUGAUGUUGAAGGUCUUAUACUUCAGCCUCCGCUCCCCAAGUGCUGUGAUCACAGGCGCGCAGCAGCAUGUCCAUGUGGCAUCGGGAACCCAGGGCUUUGUACAUCUGGACAAGCACACUAGCAACUGGCCUAACCAAGCCAAAUGCCCAGGAACUUAGCGAUUCCUGAUAUUUGCUAAUAAACACUUCCGUACCUGC